GACGAACGCUGGCGGCGUGCUUAACACAUGCAAGUCGAACGCUGAAGCCCAGCUUGCUGGGUGGAUGAGUGGCGAACGGGUGAGUAACACGUGAGUAACCUGCCCUUCACUUCGGGAUAACUCCGGGAAACCGGUGCUAAUACCGGAUAUGAUUCCUGCCUGCAUGGGUGGGGAUGGAAAGAUUUAUCGGUGGUGGAUGGACUCGCGGCCUAUCAGCUCGUUGGUGGGGUAAUGGCCUACCAAGGCGACGACGGGUAGCCGGCCUGAGAGGGUGACCGGCCACACUGGGACUGAGACACGGCCCAG
rnacentral:rRNA from 1 species